rnacentral:rRNA from 1 species
ACAGAGGGGGCAAGCGUUGUUCGGAAUUACUGGGCGUAAAGGGCGCGUAGGCGGCCUGCUAAGUCGAACGUGAAAUCCCCGGGCUCAACCCGGGAACUGCGUCCGAUACUGGUAGGCUUGAAUUCGGGAGAGGGAUGCGGAAUUCCAGGUGUAGCGGUGAAAUGCGUAGAGAUCGUGAGGAACAUCUGUGGCGAAGGCGGCCAUCUGGACCAGCACUGACACUGAGGCACGAAAGCGUGGGGAGCAAACAGGA